CUGACUCACUGGAAAAGACCCUAAUGCUGGGAAGGAUUGAGUUGGUGAAGGUAUAGGUUUUGAGUGGUCUUCUGCUCCAGGCUGUUCCUGCUGCUGCCAAUGCGCCCAUAAAGCUCUCUCCUCCCUGGACAAGGCCUCUGCAUGGUCAGACAGUUUGGGAAGGAAGACAAUGGAAGUAUGACAAAAGGCUGCCGGGCCUGUGGGUGGGAUUUGAAACCUCAAACUGGAAUCCAGAGCAAUUGGGACUGGAAGAGAAUGUGGCCAUUUCCACAAUCCAGAGUUUCCAUGACUUGUGGAGUCCAAGAUUCUGAAGUCAUCCCUCAAGAGAUGAUGCUUCAUUUUACACUGUGAGCUCUGAGACAGAUUUCAUUUAAAUGAAAAUUCUAUGGCUUAAAAUAAAACUUGAAAUCCCCUAAAAUCUAGUCAAGUGCUGUGCAUCAGAUGGUGGCUUCUAUGUAUCACUUCCUUCCAAAAGAACCAGAGUACCUUGAAGAAACGGCUGAUUCCAUGUUUGGGCCAGGGAAAGUACAAGGUUAACCUGAGAUAGCUGGCGGCAGAAAGCAAGGAAGGAAAUGCAUUGAAAAAACACUGGACCAGCUUGAAGGGACUCCUAAUGACCUCCUUUGGGAAACUUUGAACAUCAAAAAUAAUGAUGACCAUGUUUGAUUAUAAAACAAGGGAAAAAAUCCAUUAUAGUGAUACUAAAAAUUUAAAGAAAAUUACACAAAGGGGAAAAUGUCUUUGUCACCAUUGGAAGUGACUCUUAUGCUAAUGUCUUACUUGAAUAUUAGUAAUUAAAGAGAAAACAAUUAGCAUUUAUCUUGCCUUUUUAGGAAAAAUUAUAAUUCUGCCUCAAUUGAUUAUAGAAAGCUUUUCUUUACAGAAGAAAACUAACAAACGAAUAAGGAAUGUAAUGUUAGAAAAAUUACCACUGUGUACCCCAAAA